rnacentral:rRNA from 1 species
GGUUAAGCUAAAAAGAGCGCAGGGUGGAUGCCUUGGCACUAAGAGCCGAUGAAAGACGUGAUAAGCUGCGAAAAGCUUCGGGGAGGAGCAAAUAUCCUUUGAUCCGGAGAUAUCUGAAUGGGGAAACCUGGCUGAGCAAACCUCAGUCGGCGUAUGGUGAAUCCAUAGCCAUACGUUGGGAACCCGCUGAACUGAAACAUCUAAGUAGGCGGAGGAAAAGAAAGAAAACUCGAUUUCCAGAGUAGCGGCGAGCGAAAUGGAAGGAGCCUAAACCUGGGUGCGUGCACCCAGGGGUUAUGGACUGCAGUAAGUGACUCGUAUGGUAACAGAACGGUCCUGGAAAGACCGGCCACAGAGGGUGAAAGCCCCGUAUGUGAAACCAGAAGAGAGCGGGCAUGUUCCAAAGUACCACGAGACACGAGAAACCUUGUGGGAAGUCGGGGGGACCACCCCCCAAGGCUAAAUACUCCUUAGUGACCGAUAGCGCAUAGUACUGUGAAGGAAAGGUGAAAAGAACCCCGGGAGGGGAGUGAAAAAGAACCUGAAACCCUGUGUUUACAAACUGUGGAACCACAUUUUAGGUGGAACCGCGUACUUUUUGUAGAACGGUCCGGCGAGUUGCCGGGACUGGCAAGGUUAAGCACUCAAGGUGUGGAGCCGAAGGGAAACCAAGUCUUAAUAGGGCGCAGUGAUACCCUAAAGGGUAUCAAACAGUCAGUUCAGGCAGACCCGAAACCGGGUGAUCUACCCAUGUCCAGGUUGAAGUUUCCGUAAAAGGAAAUGGAGGACCGAACGCACAUCCGUUGAAAAGGGUGGCGAUGAGGUGUGGGUAGGGGAGAAAUUCCAAUCGAACCCGGAGAUAGCUGGUUCUCCUCGAAAUAGCUUUAGGGCUAGCCUCGUAUUAGUUUAGCGGAGGUAGAGCACUGAAUUCUUAAGGGGGCGUCAAAGCUUACCAAGAGAUAUCAAACUCCGAAUGCCGCAUAAAUGAUGUACGGGAGUCAGACUGCACGAGAUAAGUUGGGCAGUCAAAAGGGAAAGAGCCCAGACCACCAGCUAAGGUCCCAAAGUGCGUGUUAAGUGGAAAAGGAUGUGGGAUUUCGAAGACAACUAGGAUGUUGGCUCAGAAGCAGCCACACAUUCAAAGAGUGCGUAAUAGCUCACUAGUCGAGAGGUCCUGCGCCGAAAAUGUCCGGGGCUGAAACACGACACCGAAGCUGUGGAAUUGACUUAUGGUCAAUUGGUAGAGGAGCAUUCUUAACUGCGGCGAAGCGUUACCGUAAGGAGGCGUGGAGUGUUAAGAAGAGAGAAUGCCGGAAUGAGUAGCGAGAUGGAGGUGGGAAUCCUCCAGGCCGAAUAUCUAAGGUUUCCAGAGUAAAGCUGAUCUGCUCUGGGUAAGUCGGGGCCUAAGGCGAGGUCGAAAGACGUAGUCGAUGGACAACAGGUUGAAAUUCCUGUACCGCGUAUUAUCAGAACUGUGGGGACACAGAACCGAAGCCAAACCCGGGAAUGAAAAGACCGGGGCAAGCGCCGGACUGGUUAGACUGGCAAAUCCGUUUAACAACAGGAAAGCGUGACGCGUACCGAACAAAAGUAGGGAAGUUGGUAUAGGGGCUGUCAAGAAAAGCCGCUAUUGUGUAAUACGUGCCCGUACCGUAAACCGACACAGGUGGAUGAGGAGAGAAUCCUAAGGCCGGCGGGAGAAGCAUUGUUAAGGAACUCGGCAAAAUGACCCUGUAACUUCGGGAUAAAGGGUGCCCACGAGAGUGGGCCGCAGAGAAUAGGCUCAAGCAACUGUUUAGCAAAAACACAGGUCUAUGCAAAACCGAAAGGUGAGGUAUAUGGGCUGACGCCUGCCCGGUGCUGGAAGGUUAAGAGGAGAGGUUAGGAGCAAUCCGAAGCUUUGAAUUUAAGCCCCAGUAAACGGCGGCCGUAACUAUAACGGUCCUAAGGUAGCGAAAUUCCUUGUCGGGUAAGUUCCGACCCGCACGAAAG